rnacentral:misc_RNA from 1 species
UCUUGAGGCAAUGGUCUGUGAACCACAUGGAGAAACAACCCAGUAUACAGUGUUUGUGGAGUUACUACGUCUUGUAGCUGGAUUGCGCCGCCAGCUGUUUGCAUUGUUUGGACAUCCUGCCGAAAGUGUGCGAGAAACAGUAGCUGUCAUUAUGCGAACAAUUGCUGAAGAAGAUGCAGUUGCAGCAGAAUCAAUGCGUGACGCUGCUUUGCGAGAUGGUGCACUACUGCGUCAUUUGUUGCAUGCACUAUACCUUCCUUCUG